UACAGAGGUCUCAAGCGUUGUUCGGAUUCAUUGGGCGUAAAGGGUGCGUAGGUGGCGCCGUAAGUCAGGUGUGAAAUUUCGGAGCUUAACUCCGAAACUGCAUUUGAUACUGCGGUGCUUGAGGACUGGAGAGGAGACUGGAAUUCACGGUGUAGCAGUGAAAUGCGUAGAUAUCGUGAGGAACACCAGAGGCGAAGGCGGUUACCUGGACAAUUACUGACGCUCAGGCACGAAAGCAUGGGGAGCAAAAGGG
rnacentral:rRNA from 1 species